UUUAUAUCAGGUAUAUUGAGAUGCAAAAGGAAAAGAAUCACUGUUAUAAGCCGAAAUUGUUAAUAGAAGUGCACAUGAAACAAAACAGCAGCAAGAUAUUACACAAUUAGCUGACAUGUAUAGUGACAUUUUUGCCAGAUUAUACAGAAGAAAAUGUAACUGUAGUUUUUUCAUGAGCCAAAUUUCAAUAAUAGCUAUUAAAUGGUAUUUAAAAUGCAUCAUUUAUAGAAAUGACCUUUUUCAGAAGAACUGGAAAAUUUUAAUUCAUAUAUACUAGCUGAAGGAAAAAAACGUACUUGCUUAUAUUUCAAUAAGCCCUCUCUGCAUUGAGAAAAGAAUGUUGUUGACUACCUUUUGUUUCUUGGCUCGAUACUAGUUCUCUAGCUUUCUUCUUUUUUUUGUUUUCUUUUUUUUAAAUACACAAUUCUUACUAAUGCAAACCUCAGAUUGACUCAGACGAAAGAGGCAACAGAAUUUCUGGACACCAUGUACCCUUUAGAUAAUGUACCUCAACAAUGAUUCAGUUUCUUUUUCUAAUUUUGCAGAUCAUUUAACAAAGUGUACAGCUGAAAAUGGUUUGUGUAAGUGGUUUUUCAUCUGUGAGCUUAUUAUAUUUCCUUUGAAAAUUGUUCUUUGUGAUUUCAACAUCUUCUGGGGGUAGGGUGGUGACAUUUUAUAUAUAUAAUAUGUAUUUUUUUCCUCUCUCUCUCUGUAUGCCUUUUAAAUCCAACAGUCACUUCUCUUUCCUCGUGAUAAUCACUUCUUUUAUGGACUGAAAGCACUUUGUGCUUUUUCCUCUGUAAUCCUAGUUGAUUAUACAGUAUCUUCAUUGUUGCUCAGUGUAUAAGUCUUCGAGGUUUCGGCUGCACUGUCCAAAUCAUGAUGAGCUUCAACCAUGGCCACUGACGAAACCUCAGGCAUUUCGGCUGGUAUUUUGAACAAAUUUAUUUACUGCCUUUAUUAUAAUGUUGUCGGACAGUUGUGCAUCUAGAUGAUCUGAUGGAGUUUACACUUCAGAGUCACUGGGAAUGCCAAAGAUUUAUUUGCCUCUCAUUCAUUAAGAAGAAAAAAGAAAGAAAAUGUAACUAAUUGAAGAGUCUGGAUGACAAUUAUCUUUUUGUCGCCAUGGGCCGGGCAGAUCCUGAAGAGAACCAACUUGAGUCUGACAGUCCUUCCAGAACAUGGCACCCACCUCCACCAUAUAACACAGCCAAGUGAAACACUAAAGAGGCUCUGUAAGGCAUGACUCUGAAGAAGGCCACUAUCUUUUACUGCCAUGACACCAUUUCUCAGAAGACAUCCCAUGGGCCCUGAGUGGUCAGGAGUCCAGAGAAAAACAGUCAAGCCCUCCUUUAAUAGUAAAAUUUUUGUCUGACCCUCUCAAAUGGCUAUUUAGAUCUCUUGCAAAUUGAACCAGAAGGUCUUUGGUUCAAGUUCCUGACUUAGCAAUUUUGGAUGUGUUAUCUCACAUACCAUGAUCAGGUUCUUUGUGGAAGUUCUCUCUUUAAUUCUUCUUGAAAUAGGUUUCGUUUUGUUUUGUUUUUUUAAAUGCCUACUUGAAAUCUGAAGAAACAAAAACUCAGAAAGUGACUGGGUCCUUGACUUCCCAGCUCUUUACUACAGUCACUGGGGAACACAGUGACCCCAUCCCUAAUCGCUUCUUCAAGAGGUGCAAGUGACCCAGGAAUUCCCCUGCCAUUGCACAAUGAACUUUCCAUACCUUUAUUGGGAAUUCAGUUGUGGGGAGGAAAUCAAGGCUUUCCAAAACAUUAUCAGGAGACAAAAAUGAAGCCCCAUCUGCAUUUGAAUUUUCCAAUUUCUCAGUGUCAGGCAUUGAAUUAUCAUGGUUUGGCUCCCACUCGUUUUCUGCUUCAACGCUCAACAAGAAGACAUGGAAGUGCAGCACCACCUAGAAUUCACUUGGUUGGAAAGAAAUGCAUUUCCUGUGAGUUGGAGAAGGUCCUUCCGUUCUUUGCAGG